rnacentral:rRNA from 1 species
UACGGGGGGCAAGCGUUGUUCGGAAUUACUGGGCGUAAAGGCUCGUAGGCGGCCAACUAAGUCAGACGUGAAAUCCCCAGGCUCAACCUGGGAACUGCGUCUGAUACUGGAUGGCUUGAAUCCGGGAGAGGGAUGCAGAAUUCCAGGUGUAGCGGUGAAAUGCGUAGAUAUCUGGAGGAAUACCGGUGGCGAAGGCGGCAUCCUGGACCGGCAUUGACGCUGAGGAGCGAAAGCCAGGGGAGCAAACGGGG